GACAGAGGUCCCAAGCGUUGUUCGGAUUCACUGGGCGUAAAGGGUGCGUAGGUGGUAAGGCAAGUCAGGUGUGAAAUCUCCGGGCUCAACCCGGAAAUGGCAUUCGAAACUACCUUGCUAGAGGGUUUGAGGGGGGACUGGAAUACUUGGUGUAGCAGUGAAAUGCGUAGAUAUCAAGUGGAACACCAGUGGCGAAGGCGAGUCCCUGGAAAACUCCUGACACUGAGGCACGAAAGCUAGGGGAGCAAACAGG
rnacentral:rRNA from 1 species